AACGAACGCUGGCGGCAGGCCUAACACAUGCAAGUCGAACGGUGUAGCAAUACACAGUGGCGCACGGGUGAGUAACGCGUGGGAAUCUGCCCAUUAGUACGGAAUAACAGUUGGAAACGACUGCUAAUACCGUAUACGCCCUUCGGGGAAGGAUUUAUCGCUAAUGGAUGAGCCCGCGUAAGAUUAGGUAGUUGGUGGGGUAAUGGCCUACCAAGCCUACGAUCUUUAGCUGGUCUGAGAGGAUGGCCAGCCACACUGGAACUGAGACACGGUCCAGACUCCUACGGGAGGCAGCAGUAGGGAAUAUUGGACAAUGGGCGAAAGCCUGAUCCAGACAUGCCGCGUGAGUGAUGAAGGCCUUAGGGUUG
rnacentral:rRNA from 1 species